rnacentral:misc_RNA from 1 species
GAUGAAGAACGUAGUGAAAUGCGAUAAGUAAUGUGAAUUGCAGAAUUCAGUGAACCAUCGAAUCUUUGAACGCACAUUGCGCCCGGCAGUAAUCUGCCGGGCAUGCCUGUCCGAGCGUCAUUUCUGCCCUCGAGCGAGUCCAGCAUCUAGGUGCUGGGCCCGCCCGGCGUUGGGGCACUACGGGAAGCCCUGUGCUGUCCCCCGUAGGCCCCGAAAUGAAGUGGCGGUCCUGCCGCGGCGCCCCCUGCGUAGUAUAACAGCUCGCUUCGGGACCCGGUGGAGGCCUGCCGUCAAACCUUACUCUCUAAGUUUGACCUCGGAUCAGGUAGGGUUACCCGCUGAACUUAAGCAUAUCAAUAACGGAGGA